rnacentral:sRNA from 1 species
CGGUGCGCGCCGCGCUCUGGGACCCCAGGGGCUUCCUCUCUGGGCGGGUUUGCGGCUCGCGCCUCGGGGUGUGGACGGCGGCCCCGCCGGUGCGCGCCCCCGCGCUCGGCCGCCAGGCCAGAUAUGUUUCCUUCUUUUUGCCAUUCUCUAUGUUGUUUCCUACUUCAUCAUCACAAGAUACAAGAGAAAAUCAGGCCGGAGAGCAGUGGGGCAAUCAUGGCUGACUGUAGCCUCGACCUCCUGGGCUCAAGUGAUUCUCCAACCUCAGCCUCCUGGACUACAGAUGAACAAGAAGAUGAAGAUGCCAUCGUCAACAGGAUUUCGUUGUUUUUGAGCACGUUCACUCUCGCAGUGUCAGCUGGGGCUGUUUUGCUUUUACCCUUCUCAAUAAUCAGCAAUGAAAUCCUGCUUUCUUUUCCUCAAAACUACUAUAUUCAGUGGCUAAAUGGCUCCCUGAUUCAUGGUUAGU